UGGGGAAUAUUGCACAAUGGGCGAAAGCCUGAUGCAGCAACGCCGCGUGAGGGAUGACGGCCUUCGGGUUGUAAACCUCUUUUAGUAGGGAAGAAGCGAAAGUGACGGUACCUGCAGAAAAAGCACCGGCUAACUACGUGCCAGCAGCCGCGGUAAUACGUAGGGUGCAAGCGUUGUCCGGAAUUAUUGGGCGUAAAGAGCUCGUAGGCGGUUUGUCGCGUCUGCUGUGAAAUCCCGAGGCUCAACCUCGGGUCUGCAGUGGGUACGGGCAGACUAGAGUGUGGUAGGGGAGAUUGGAAUUCCUGGUGUAGUGGUGGAAUGCGCAGAUAUCAGGAGGAACACCGAUGGCGAAGGCAGAUCUCUGGGCCAUUACUGACGCUGAGGAGCGAAAGCAUGGGGAGCGAACA
rnacentral:rRNA from 1 species